CGUCGAAGGUGGGGCUGAUGACUGGGGUGAAGUCGUAACAAGGUAUCCGUACCGGAAGGUGCGGAUGGAUCACCUCCUAACAGGGAGACAACACAAUGAUUUUGAUGCCUGAGUACUUUUAUUCUUAGGCCGAAAUCCUGUCACCUUAGGUCGAUCGGUACCUCAGCUUUGAAGUCAAGGAUCAGCAGCAAUGUUGAUUGCUUGAUGGAGAUUUUUAGUUCCUAAACUUUGUCUAGGUCACACCCCAAAAGGGAUGAGACUCCUGGGCCAUUAGCUCAGGUGGUUAGAGCGCACCCCUGAUAAGGGUGAGGUCCCUGGUUCAAGUCCAGGAUGGCCCAUUCGGUGUUGGGGGUUUAGCUCAGUUGGUAGAGCGCCUGCUUUGCAAGCAGGAUGUCAGGAGUUCGAGUCUCCUAACCUCCACUGACCGAACUUGAUUCCCAUCUCCAAUUUUUUGGAGUUGAGCUCGAUUGGAGUGUGAUUUAGAUGUGUCCGCUGGAUGACCCCAGCUUCCUGUCAUUCCAAGUUUUAGAUUUUAAGUCUUAAAUUUGGUUGAUAAGAUGCUGGGCUCGGAUCAAAUAAUCAAGCAAUUGAUGAUUUGAUUUGAAGUUCUAGCAGAACCUUGACAACUGCAUAGGUGAAGUCUGGAAAAACAAAGCAUCUUACAGAUGCAUUGUUUUGAAUCUGAUCUUCUGAAAGGGAGAUUAGAUCUAGAACAAUGAAAAUUCUUUUGAGCAAGAGCCGAGACUCUUAAAUGUUCUUUGAUUCGUGUCGAGCGAAUCAGAGUUUGAUCUUGUUUUUAGCAAUAAAAACUUGAGAAUCUGCUUUCAACGGCGGUAAGCGUUUAAGAGGUUAAUUGGUCAAGCUACAAAGGGCUCA
rnacentral:misc_RNA from 1 species